CUAGCGACUUCAGAGUUUGAUCCUGGCUCAGGACGAACGCUGGCGGCGUGCCUAACGCAUGCAAGUCGAACGGAACUCAUUGGAUCAAGACUUCGGUCAAGUGAAUUUGAGUUUAGUGGCGGACGGGUGAGUAACGCGUGAGGAACCUGCCUUUCAGAGGGGGACAACAGUUGGAAACGACUGCUAAUACCGCAUGAUGCAUUUUUGGGGCAUCCCUUAAACGCCAAAGAUUUUAUCGCUGAAAGAUGGCCUCGCGUCUGAUUAGAUAGUUGGUGGGGUAACGGCCCACCAAGUCGACGAUCAGUAGCCGGACUGAGAGGUUGAACGGCCACAUUGGGACUGAGAUACGGCCCAG
rnacentral:rRNA from 1 species